AGCAGCAGUGAUGCCGAGAAGACAGACAACAGUUAUGGUGCCUAUGAUUCUGAUGUCAUUGGACUCAUCUACUAUCAGAGUAUCACUCUCCUGAAAGCAGUGAGAAAUGUUAAUAGAACCAGUGUUUCUCUGCCCAACUGGUGGGAUCAAGUAACAAGCAAAAUCAUUUACUCGUCUUCCAAGGAGUGGCUGAAAUGUGAGAAGUGUUAUAAAGAAGGCAUUAAACUGAAGGCAUCCACUGAUGUGCAUCAGUAUUUAAAAUGAGAGGAAGAGGUGUCUCCAUGCUCAGUUUGUUGAAGGAUGUCCAACCUGGAAUGCUCUGAAUAGAAAAGACCAGCUGAAAGCCGUGCUCUCUCCAUUAGCCAUUCUCUCCACUGAGCCAGUGCUCACAGCGAUGUUCUGGAGAAUCACACAGAAAACAAACACGGUUUUGUGCAAAGCAGAGGACACCUGGCUGCAUAAGAGACACAGGAGAAAGGAAUUCCAAAGAAGAUCAGGUUUUACUGCCUCUGGAGUAGAGAGCAAUAUUCUGCUUACACCAGGCAUCAGCAGAAUGGUUUAGUCUUCAUCUCUCCUGGGGCUAAAGAUGAUGAGCUCAUCAAGUCUCCGUAACAAGUGUGGAGAAUAGCCAAGAGGAAGAAAGAAUAAGCUCUGCAGACCGAAGUGAUUUGCCCAAGGUCACCAAGGGAGACCCAGGACAGCCAGGCACAGACUCCAGCCCUGCUAAUGGUGCCUCGUUUGUUCCAGGGCUGUGCUCAGUGGCUCCCACACCAGGGCCACAACUCACAUAAGGGCACAGCAGGUUGCCAGUGUAACAAAAAUCCCAUUACCUCUGACAUUCACCUUCCUGUUUUGAAAGGCAUAAGAUUAUCCUUCUGUAAGCUGAAUACUGGAAAAAGUAUGGAAAUGGCCAAGCUAGAUGAUGCUCUUUUCCCUAAAAGUCCCAACCUGUGAAGCAAUUCUCCCUUCAUUUUAUUCCGUGAUAUCAUCUGCCUUCUUUUUAACCUUCUCUAAGUGAAAGCCUUAAAAAAACCUAAACAAAGUUAUCUCAUUUUGUUUCAAAUAUACAAACCUUUGAGAGAUGCAGCAGUAAAAACCAUGGAAUUUUCUGGUUAUGAUCAAAACUGAAAAUUCCUUAAUAUGCUUAUGUUCAGUACCUUAUCAUUCAGCAUUAUGUUCAAAGCUAAGACACUAUUUUACUCCUCUCUGGCCACUACUGAAGUAAAUUAUUUCUAUAAGAGGAAGUUUUCUUCUGGGCAUAGAAAUGGGUUUAGUCUCUUGAGCAGCAGUUGUACAUCUGCAAACGAAUACAGAUACCAAAUUCAUAUUUUUUCCCUUUUAUAUCCACUUUGCAUUUGUCUUUGGAAAUGCUUCUCCUUUCCAUGUAAGCCAUUUUACACAGGUCUGUGGAGACCUUAAUUUAGGUAAGUUAGGCCAAGGCUAGGAAGCUGCCCUAAUAAGAUCCUAAAGAAUUGGGUCCUAAUUUGCUAAUGGCUAUUUUUUUUCUUGAUUUCAUUAUUUUAUAUUACCCUCCUUAGGACAGGUGAAUCUGCAGAGAGUGGAAGUCUGAACAAGAUCUGGACCAGCAUCCAAAAAUCAGAUGCUUGUCCAAAUUAUUCAGACCUUAGAAGUAUCUAAAACUGAGUGGAAUGGGGAUGAGAGCUUGUUUUCUCUCAAAAUUUCUCAUUUCACAAUUGGCCAACACAGAAAAAAGAAUGGGGAUUUUUGCUGCAUAUUGGCACUUUUAGUCUCAGCUUGACUAUAGCAAUGACCUCUCUCCAGCCCUGCCCUGAUAAGUGCACAAUUAAGAACCUCAAAAAAGGUUUUUGAUUCUGAAAGUAGCUGUAUCCUGUGUCUCUGCUUUUUACAGAGAACUUGGUAUUGUGGCUUAAGGGGGAAGAUAUGGCUUAUGAAGUCAGUAGAGUAACGUGUUAUUCCACUGUUUUGUAGUAGGUCUUUUAGUAGUUUAACUGUUUCAAAGUGUAAUCUAUUUGUUCUUGCCACAGAAGUUCUUAUUACAGCUUUCCAUGCUAUUUGGUUUUUUUUCCACAUAGGGUAAUCAACCCUUAAAAUAUCUAGAUAGGUGACUAGACAGCAAAAUUCACCUGUCUGAGACACUAACACAGAAAUUAGUGAAAAUCUGGUAUUUGAGACUUAAUAUUACCAACUUCUCAAAUUCUUUCCAGUGGAAGUUUUCAACGUGCAAACCCCAGAGGAUCAUACCUGACAAAUGUAUAUUCUUCUGCAAGUAGCCAUGGGGGGGUGACAAAAGUGAGGAUUAUCAUGAUAAAGGGCAUGUUUUGGUAUUUCAUUAUUCACUUACUGUGGUGUAUACGUGGAAAAAGUGGAGCAAACAGGAAGAGUCUGCUAAGGGGAAGGGGUUUUUUUCCCCACAAAAUGCAUAUAUAUCAAUAGUAAAUGCCUACAGUGGGUCCACCAAAAAUAGGUCUCUCCUAAGGAGAGAGGAGAAACAGCUCUACAAAAUCAUUCAAAGGCAGGUUAGACAGUUGUAUUCUGUUUUAUAGUUCUCUCUGUAAGUGUAUUUUACAUGGAUAUAGCCCCAUCUAUUACAUGAGCAAAGUCUAAACAGCUCUUCCAUUGAUAGAUUAGGAGGAAUUUAGCCAAAUCAUUCCUCCAUAAAUGCUUUCUGUGUAGUCAUUCAAGAAGCUCUUCAGAUUCAUUCCAAAUUCAUUGGAAUGAGUGUGAAGGCCUAAAUUCAUUCACUGAAUCAGCACCUGAAAACUCUUGUCUGCUAUCCUUCUUCUGAGCAAACACUCAGCCUCAACACUCUUGUUCUGGAUUCUUUUUUGCAGUUGGAAUGGUUUGUUACAGCAAUAAACAGGGAGUGCUUUGGAUUUCUGGUUGAGAUUGCAUUUGUUGCACAUAAUCUUUUUUAUAACACUUAUAUUUGUUAAUGAGUACAGCGGAGGAAUCUGUCAAAAUUAGUUAUGCAUUGAUGUUAAAUUCAAGUUUAGAAUAAGUGUGAAUUGUGUAGCCUGGUUAAAUUAUGAAUUGACAUUUAUCAUCUGCCAUCCUAACUCUUACAUGGAACAGAAGAGAUUAAGUAGAUCCAUACUUUUAGACAAGAUUAAGCAAUGUUUUUCUGUUAAUCAAGUACCUUAUGACCACCUUUUAAUAAAAAUCUUUGCUUUGAUCAGGAUACAGAGCAGCAAGCAGACGGCAGCUACCAGAGGAAAUAUGGUAAUUACUUGUACUUUUUCUCUUGGGUAAGGUCCAUGAAUCUAAGGACUUUCUCAUAUUAAUAAGCAGAAUUAACAGUCUGGAAAUAGAAUAGAGAAAAAUUGUAUCUUUCCUUUUCACUUACCUUUGCCAGUUGUUCAUGAAUUUCUAAUAAGCUUGGUCUGUUGAGCUUAUUCCCACUGACGCUGCCAGUGUUUCUAUAAUAAUCAAUUUUGGGAACUGGGUCCAUUGUGUUAUGGCCAAAAGUUUGUAGAUAAUACAUUUUAGUGUGAGUAUCAUAGGGAUGUAAACUAGCUUCUGUUUUCUCUGCAUUUUGAAGGAAAUUGUCAUAUAAUUCUCUUUUUCCUGGUCUGUAACUGAUUCUCAGUCUGUUCUGUGUUUCAUCAGUAAAAGAUGUUUCUUCAUAAUGUGGUGGGUCAGAGCCCACAUCCUCUUGGGCUGUUUCGUUGUCGUCAUGGCCUUCAUUAAUUAUGUUAACUUGAAACCGAUUUGCAUUUGGAUCCGAGAAUACAUUUGGUGCAUUGUUCAUGGACAUCUUCAGGGAUGCUGCAGACUCAGGUCACUGAGCCCUUUACUCUUCUGUGGCUGCAGCCAGUUAGUAGCAGCUACAGCAAAGGGUUUACUGCUGUUUCAUAUGAAAUCUUUACUCCUCGAGUAAUGAAGUUCUGAGAAUUUUCUCUUGAAUGUCUAAGCAGGCUUCCUAAUGUUGUCUGCUGUUUUUCUGCUAUAAAAGAUAUAAAUGAAACAUUUCUGUUAUUUUGCAUGGUUAGAUAUAUUUUCCACUAUAAGCUCUCCCUGACCUCACCAAGUAUCCAUAAGACUGUCAUCCUAUGACUUGUUGACUAAAAAAAUAUUUGAGUCAAAGACUGAGUUUGUGGAGAUGUUUCCAUCAGUGACGGACACACUUGACCCCUUAACCAAACCAGCAGUAGUUUGGUACAGGCCUGAGCGCUAAAGGGGCCAAAACCUUCUCUAGUUUCAAUCUGUUUUAUGGAAACCCAGAAAGAAGCAGGGUGACACAGUGAGCAUCCAUGUACAUGGAUCAUGCAAUUGGAACAUGACCAUGCAAUUAAAACGUGGAAAGCAGGGGACUGCCUCCUCUGUAACCUGCUGCUCACCAGGUCCCUUCCAGGAGAGUUGCUCCCUGCACGGUGCAGGCAUUAAAUCUGUCUGAAGUACAGGAUUUCCAUUUGCCCUUGUUGAAUGUCAUGAGAUUCCUGUUGUCCCGUUCCUCUGUCUUGUUCUGGCUCCCUUGGAGUCGCAGCCCACAGAAAAGUGGACAUAUAGCUGUAUAAUCUCCUUCCCACCUCCACUUCCCCACACAGA